GGGCAGUUUAGUGGCAAAUUAAAUAAUUCAGUCUUAUCAAUAGCUAUCUAGCGUAUUUCUAAGACAAGUGGAUAUAAAUACAUAUAUACACAUACUGCCUUAAUGUGACAGCCACGAUGAAGGUUUGACUCGGAAAACAAUGUGACUUAUUUUUGAUGGAAAAUGCACCACAUUGUUCCUGAUUCGCACAAGCAGAACUGUGAAACAGCUAGGACUUUGUGCUUCCAAAUAUGCACAUUUUCCCAGACUCCUUCCUCAUCCCAGAAAAUCCAGCUAGAAAUCAAGAAUGAGUAAAACAGCCCUGCUUAAGAAGUAGACGAGACAGCAAGGGAUACAGAGGACAGAGGCUGCAUCGUGGCCCACGUCCAGGGCCUGCAGGUUACGUGACAGAGGGACUGUGGCCACCAUGGGAGGGAAAGAGCCUUCCUCUGUAAGUAUGUCUCCAGAGCAGCCUUGGAGGAUGAAUCCUGAAGGCAU
rnacentral:lncRNA from 1 species